rnacentral:rRNA from 1 species
UACGUAGGGGGCAAGCGUUGUCCGGAUUUAUUGGGCGUAAAGAGCUCGUAGGUGGUUCGGUAAGUCGGAUGUGAAAUCUCCAGGCUCAACCUGGAGGGGUCAUUCGAUACUGCCGUGACUAGAGGUCGGUAGGGGAGUGUGGAAUUCCCGGUGGAGCGGUGAAAUGCGCAGAUAUCAGGAGGAACACCGAUGGCGAAGGCAGGUCUCUGGGCCACUACUGACGCUGAGAAGCGAAAGCAUGGGGAGCGAACAGG